GCAGGUUAGUGAGCAGCUCUGCCUCACGGUGGAAGUCCUUGCGGGCAUUGUCGCUGGCAUCCUUCAGUGUCUGAUGGAGAAAAUGAAAAUGUAAAGGACAGAUGUUCACAGAAGAAAUACACACAGCCCAGUACAAGCAUCCCAGGACACCAGUCUGAGAAGUAGGACCUAAAAGAAACUUACAUUCAGAGACUGAGUCAUAUUCAAGCCUGGUGGAAACAAAUGAAGAGGAAUACAUCUUCUUUGCUAAAACAAGUUUGGUGAGGGAGCAGAGGUCUCCACUAUGUAUAGCCCCUUGCAACUGGUCUACAUGACAUGCAGCCCAGGGCCCCUUGGCCUUUAGCAGACCAGAGCCAAUGCCAUGCCCUGUAUGUUUCCAUGGCCAUGGGCAGUGAGGCAUCAGUCACAGACGUAGCCGGUCUGUCAAAU